rnacentral:rRNA from 1 species
ACUCAAAUGAAUAGACGGGGGCCCGCACAAGCGGUGGAGCAUGUUGUUUAAUACGUCACUAACCGUAGAACCUUACCAGGGCUUGACAUGGCGUGAAAUCCUAUGAAAGUAGGCUUCCUCGCAAGAGGACACGCACACAGGUGUUGCAUGGCUGUCGUCAGCUCGUGUCGUGAGAUGUUGGGUUAAGUCCCGCAACGAGCGCAACCCUCAUCCUAUGUUGCCAGCGAGUAAAGUCGGGAACUCUUAGGAAACUGCCGGGGUAACCCGGAGGAAGGUGAGGACGACGUCAAGUCAGCAUGGCCCUUACGCCCUGGGCUACAAACAUGCUACAAUGGACGGUAGACAGAGGGAUCCGAGACCGUGAGGUGGAGGCAAUCUCAGAAAUCCGUUCUCAGUUCGGAUCGCAGUCUGCAACUCGACUGCGUGAAGCUGGAAUCGCUAGUAACCGCAGGUCAGCUAAACUGCGGUGAAUCCGUUCCCGGGCCUUGUACACACCGCCCGU